AGUGAACGCUGGCGGCGUGCCUAAUACAUGCAAGUCGAACGGACGAGUAAGAGCUUGCUCUUAUGAGUUAGUGGCGCACGGGUGAGUAAUGUAUAGCUAAUCUGCCCUACACUAGAGGACAACAGUUGGAAACGACUGCUAAUACUCUAUACUCCUCUCUAGCAUAAGUUAGAUAGGGAAAGUUUUUCGGUGUAGGAUGAGGCUAUAUUGUAUCAGCUAGUUGGUGAGGUAAUGGCUCACCAAGGCUAUGACGCAUAACUGGUCUGAGAGGAUGAUCAGUCACACUGGAACUGAGACACGGUCCAGACUCCUACGGGAGGCAGCAGUAGGGAAUAUUGCUCAAUGGGGGAAACCCUGAAGCAGCAACGCCGCGUGGAGGAUGACACUUUUCGGAGCGUAAACUCCUUUUGUUAGGGAAGUACCAGACGGUA
rnacentral:rRNA from 1 species